rnacentral:rRNA from 1 species
CCUACGGGAGGCUGCAGUGGGGAAUUUUGGACAAUGGGCGCAAGCCUGAUCCAGCUAUUCCGCGUGUGGGAUGACGGCCUUCGGGUUGUAAACCACUUUUGUAGAGAACGAAAAGCCUGCUGAUAAUACCGAUAGAUGAUGACCGUACUCUAAGAAUAACCACCGGCUAACUACGUGCCAGCAGCCGCGGUAAUACGGAGGGUGCGAUCGUUAGUCGGAAUUACUGGGGGUAAAGGGUGUGCAGGCGGUUUUGCAAGAUGGAUGUGAAAGCCCCGGGCUUAACCUGGGAAAGGCAGACGUGACUGCAAGACUAGAGUGCGUGAGAGGGGGGUGGAAUUCCGAGUGUAGCAGUGAAAUGCGUAGAUAUUUGGAAGAACACCGAUGGCGAAGGCAGCCCCCUGGGACGCAACUGACGCUGAUACACGAAAGCGUGGGGAGCAAACAGGAUUAGAUACCCGUGUAGUC